rnacentral:rRNA from 1 species
AGCUCCAAUAGCGUAUAUUAAAGUUGCUGCAGUUAAAAAGCUCGUAGUUGCAUUUCCGAGGCAAGGGAUUAGUCCGACCUUUGGUGGGUAUUUAAUCCUCUUGCCUCGUCCUUGAGUGGUGCUUCUUGGUAUUAAGUUAUCGAGGAGAUAGCCGCUCAUCGUUUACUGUGAGAAAAUUAGAGUGUUCAAAGCAGGCUUAUGCCGUUGAAUAUAUUAGCAUGGAAUAAUAAGAUAGGACCGCGGUACUAUUUUGUUGUUUUGAGAACCAAGGUAAUGAUGAAUAGGGACAGUUGGGGGUAUUCGUAUUCAGUUGUCAGAGGUGAAAUUCUUAGAUUUACGGAAGACGAACUACUGCGAAAGCAUUUACCAAGGAUGUUUUCA